AGUGAACGCUGGCGGUAGGCCUAACACAUGCAAGUCGAACGGCAGCACAGGAGAGCUUGCUCUCUGGGUGGCGAGUGGCGGACGGGUGAGGAAUACAUCGGAAUCUACUCUGUCGUGGGGGAUAACGUAGGGAAACUUACGCUAAUACCGCAUACGACCUACGGGUGAAAGCAGGGGAUCUUCGGACCUUGCGCGAAUGAAUGAGCCGAUGUCGGAUUAGCUAGUUGGCGGGGUAAAGGCCCACCAAGGCGACGAUCCGUAGCUGGUCUGAGAGGAUGAUCAGCCACACUGGAACUGAGACACGGUCCAGACUCCUACGGGGGGCAGCAGUGGGGAAUAUUGGACAAUGGGCGCAAGCCUGAUCCAGCCAUACCGCGUGGGUGAAGAAGGCCUUCGGGUUGUAAAGCCCUUUUGUUGGGAAAGAAAUCCAGCUGGCUAAUACCCUGUUGGGAUGACGGUACCCAAAGAAUAAGCACCGGCUAACUUCGUGCCAGCCGCCGCGGUAA
rnacentral:rRNA from 1 species